rnacentral:lncRNA from 10 species
CGCCCCCGCUGCCCUCGGCCCGCCCCGCCGCCCAGUGCGCCACCGAGAGCCCCGGGCAGGGGGCCGCCCUGUGCCCUGCAGGGCCGCGGGGCCGCGUAGCUCUCUCGGUGCGGCGGGUAAGUGCUGCCCGGCGUCGGGGCGUCCCGCGCCGUCGGUCCCAGCGUGCCCGGCCGCUGCCUCCCGGGGCACCCCGCGCUGCGCGCAUCCCUCGGGCUCGGCGCCCGCCCCGGGCCCCUCCAGCCGCGGGCGCUGCCUCGGCGCCCGGGGGACGCGCCUCCGCUGCGGGAGCUGCCGGCCUGAGUCCUGCUGCCCCUCCAGAUCCCAGUCCAGCUAUAGCCCCCACCAUGGCUGAGGGAGGGGUACCCUCGCCAGGGCCUGGUGCCUACUUCAGCAGGAAAGCCCGACUCUCCUUCCGCCACCAGCUGCAUGACAUAGCAUCGGCCAAUGACUCCACCAUUUGAAGGGGACGACGAGGAGGUGAACCUCCAGGAAGGCUUAGCAAGCUUCCUUCCCCAGAUUUCUCAGCGAUCCUAAUGUCCACCUCCCCAAGUCCUUUCUAACCUUCUCAUCAAAUGUGUUCAUAGUUGCUAAGUGCUGUGUGUGUGUGUGCUGGGGGUGUAGAUGGGGCCAAGGCUGCAGGGCUGGGUUAUGGGGCUGAGAUGGGAAGUGUUGUCUACGGUGGGAGUGAGACACACGAAUGAUGAAUAUGAGGCAGCUGACCUAACGCAGAGCCCAGGUGUGACAAGCGGGAAAGUAAGAAUUGGCUGACGUCAAGCUUCGGGGUUGAGUGUGGUGAAGGCAGGCUGGGGUGGCUGGGGGCAGGGCAGGAUAGCAGAUGGGAUGAGAAAGCAUAUUCAUUCAGUAAAUGCCGAGUGUCCACCCCUGCCAGGCGUGGAGGAUGUAUCAAUGAACCAGGAAGGAACAAUUCUCUCUUCUCACUGAACUGACUUGCUAGUAGAGGGAGGGAGACAAUCAUACACAGGUAACAGCUAAGCAGAACCCAAGAUGGUGAUGUGUGCUGCUUUGAAGAAAAUGAAACAGGGUCAUGUGAGAGUGGGAUUAGGGGGUGGUGAUUCUUCAGUUUCAGGUGGUUGGGAAAGGCCUUUCUGAUGAGGUGACAUUUGAGCUGAGAGCUGAAUGAUGAGCAGCCAUGUGGAAAUCUGGGAGUGAUGUGUCAGUGCAGG